rnacentral:rRNA from 1 species
GUGAGGUAAUGGCUCACCAAGGCGACGACGGGUAGCCGGCCUGAGAGGGCGACCGGCCACACUGGGACUGAGACACGGCCCAGACUCCUACGGGAGGCAGCAGUGGGGAAUAUUGCACAAUGGGCGAAAGCCUGAUGCAGCGACGCCGCGUGAGGGAUGACGGCCUUCGGGUUGUAAACCUCUUUCAGCAGGGAAGAAGCGAAAGUGACGGUACCUGCAGAAGAAGCGCCGGCUAACUACGUGCCAGCAGCCGCGGUAAUACGUAGGGCGCAAGCGUUGUCCGGAAUUAUUGGGCGUAAAGAGCUCGUAGGCGGCUUGUCACGUCGGUUGUGAAAGCCCGGGGCUUAACCCCGGGUCCGCAGUCGAUACGGGCAGGCUAGAGUUCGGUAGGGGAGAUCGGAAUUCCUGGUGUAGCGGUGAAAUGCGCAGAUAUCAGGAGGAACACCGGUGGCGAAGGCGGAUCUCUGGGCCGAUACUGACGCUGAGGAGCGAAAGCGUGGGGAGCGAACAGGAUUAGAUACCCUGGUAGUCCACGCCGUAAACGGUGGGCACUAGGUGUGGGCAACAUUCCGCGUUGUCCGGGCCGCAGCUAACGCAUUAAGUG